CCUACGGGGAGCAGCAGUGGGGGAUAUUGCACAAUGGGGGAAACCCUGAUGCAGCGACGCCGCGUGGGCGAAGAAGUAUUUCGGUAUGUAAAGCCCUAUCAGCAGGGACGAAGAAAUGACGGUUCCUGAGUAAGAAGCACCGGCUAAAUACGUGCCAGCAGCCGCGGUAAUACGUAGGGUGCAAGCGUUAUCCGGAUUUACUGGGUGUAAAGGGAGCGCAGGCGGCACGGCCAGACUGAUGUGAAAGCCCCCGGCCCAACCGGGGGACUGCAUUUGGAACUGCCGGGCUGGAGUACCGGAGAGGAAGGCGGAAUUCCUAGUGUAGCGGUGAAAGGCGUAGAUAUUAGGAGGAACACCAGUGGCGAAGGCGGCCUACUGGACGGUGACUGACGCUGAGGCGCGAAAGCGUGGGGAGCAAACAGGAUUAGAUACCCUUGUAGUC
rnacentral:rRNA from 1 species